CCUACGGGAGGCAGCAGUGAGGAAUAUUGGUCAAUGGCCGGAAGGCUGAACCAGCCAUGCCGCGUGAAGGUCAGUGCCCUAUGGGCGUUAAACUUCUUUUGUGCGGGAGCAAUAAUGGUCACGUGUGGCCAGACGAGAGUACCGUACGAAUAAGCAUCGGCUAACUCCGUGCCAGCAGCCGCGGUAAUACGGGGGAUGCUAGCGUUAUCCGGAUUUAUUGGGUUUAAAGGGUGCGUAGGCUGUUAGGUAAGUCAGCGGGGAAAUGCCCCCGCUCAACGGGGUGAAGUGCCAUUGAUACUGCCUUGCUGGAAUGCGGAUGCCGUGGGAGGAAUGUGUGGUGUAGCGGUGAAAUGCAUAGAUAUCACACAGAACACCGAUUGCGAGGGCAUCUCACGAAUCCGCGAUUGACGCUGAUGCACGAAAGCGUGGGUAUCAAACAGGAUUAGAUACCCGAGUAGUC
rnacentral:rRNA from 1 species